rnacentral:lncRNA from 1 species
AAGUACACAACAACAACAACAACAACAGAUGGUACCAUAAUUAUCUGCUCGCAAGCAGGUCAGGCUCCGGCACCGUUGCAGAUAAAAUCUGAGGUUCAACCACCUGGAUAAGGCCGGUGGCCAGCCUUUGGGUCAAAUCUUCCACAGGUAUCUUCAUCACAUCCUUUCUCAUCCCAAUAUCAGCAGCAUAUCUACUGGCACAGUACACCCCAACGGCUGUUGCUGCCAUUCCAUAGAUAUUGGUUGUCACAAGACGCAGUGGUGUUGAAAGAACCGCUGCCAGAGGUCCCCCGAUGAUUGAAACUGCUUGCCCACUUUGUCCCAUGGUCCUUUCAUCAACCACAAGUAGUCCAGUUUUGCAGUAUAUUGCAAAAUCUUCACAAUUGUUUUUGAAUACAUUAUAGCAUCCAAAGCCAUUGUCGAGUAGGUAUUUUGCUCGAUGGACCACAAGAUCAUCUGAAUCAGAGCUUGCAAGGGUGCAAGUUCCACCUCGAGCUUUGGCCAGAAAAAGAGCGGGACUAACACCAUACUUGAAACGAUACAACACUCCACCCGCAAGAAAACAGUUCAAGCAUGAGGAAACAACUCCAUUCCCUUCUUCUAGAGGAACACAGGUAGCGCAUGGCACGAAGGAUCGAGCAGGUCCUGAACUUACGAGUAAGACAUCAAGCACGGUCCCGGUUCCUACUUCUUGACCUCUUCUGGUAAAAUGAAUAACUCUGCCAUCUCCCACAUAGAUGCCUGAAUUGUUCUCAUUAGCAAUAUGGAUUAGAGGAAAACAAACGAAAAGUAACAGAAAGUGAUGUAUUUGAAUCUAGUCUCAACACAGUUAACUGUCUUAACAUGUAGCAUAAACAGCAUAUUCUGCUAGACUAAGAACAUAAUAAGUCAGCAACUUAGAAGAAAGCACACUGAUCUAAUCCAAAAUUUUCACUUGAUCCCAUGCUCAAUAUUCACUUGUGAUCCUUCGUUACUAGAGGAAGUGGUAGGCAGUAACAAUAUCAAAAUUCUGAAACAGCCACUUUCUUUUCUAGAAAAUCACAAGUGAAUAACAUUCAACAUUCAACAGUUCUAAUGAAAAACAAACUGUACAAGAUGAGAUACAAGAUCCCAGAAAAAACCACAAACUCUUGGCAUCCAAUAAAGAUCCAAAUCUAGACCACAUUGAUAGAUAGAGGGUAUUAUUUUGAGUUCAACCUUAAACACCAAUAAGUUCUUAUGAAACAAAAUUUUAAAGAAAAAUACCACAGAAAACUCAUCCUUCAUUACGUUUUUCAAACAAAUCAGGCCAAAGUAAGAAGAUUUAAAGGCCAGGCUUAAAUCAGAGGUUACCUAAAGCAUAUUCCAAUACUUGAGCUCUCACAUCAACCACUUAAACGAUUAAUCAACCGUUUCAAAUUACCCAGCAGGCCAGAUGAAUAUUUGGGGAAAAUCUAAUUCUACUCUAAUGGUCUCUAAAACUACAGGCAAUACACACAUAAUCCAAAGAAAAAAACUAAGGGAAGAUUGAGAAGAAAACCAUGAUGGGCAUAGAUAUAAGCGGCUCUCCAAGAGUAGAUAUGAUCACCCGGUUUCAAGCUCUCCCGAUUAACUCUACAAGCAACCAAAUCAAACAACGCUUCAUUUAGACGAAAAGGGCAUUGAAACUGAACAAUUGAAAGGAAACCCAAUUGAAAUUGGUUAAAAUUAAGGGUACCCAAAAGAUUAAAACUUUUCAUAAAACUUAAAACAGAGAGAAUUGAUAGAUCAAAACCUGUUGGAAAGAAGCCCCAUAUCUGGUUUCUGCGGAAGGGAACAGAGUCGUGGUUGUUUUUUCUCCCAAAAUGAAAUGCUGAAAUGGGGAAGUCCGAUUGAGAAGCGUAAAGGGAAAGAGAAAGAGACAAACUUACGAUUGUGCCCUCUUGAGCAUGGGGUUGGUCUCGGGGGCCGCACUGAAAAAAUCAGAGUGUGUUGGAAUGAGUUGGUUCAAUUUUCGAUGAAUUGUAAACCUCAUUGGAUUGAACAUUCAUUACAUUACGUAAUCAAGUUUGUUACAUUAAUACAACAAACCUACUUUAUCUUCAAAGAUUCUUUCCUCGACAAAACAACUUCUCAACAUCUUAACAAAACAGAGUCGGCAGAAAAAAAAAGAAAAAAGAAAAAAAGAAAACCCAAACCCCCAUUUUAAAAAGGUUCCAAUUUUUAAUUUACAUAUCCACGUUCAUAUAUGGAAUGAUCUUCAUUCUCUGUUGCUCUAUCUGUAAUAAUAAUAUGGGGUUUUUGUUCUUUUUCAUCUUCAACUUCUAUCAAUGGCUUUACAGUCGAUUCAAUGAUCUCAAAUCUAUUUAGAUUGUUAAUGGCAGAUUUGGCGGGGUUUUGGUAGAGUUGGGAUGAGUUUGAUGGAUCAGUCAUCGUCUUCAUUGCUACGGCUAAGGCUUUCAAGGCCUUUCCUAAUUCCGAACUUAAUGUCUUGCCUGAAUUUCCAUCAUUCAUCAAAUUCGCAAUGUGCUCUUUGACUGCAAAUACAAAUUUCAAGAGUUAGUGAUGUAAAAUAAAACAAGAAUUAAGAAUUUUGACACUAGUACCUGGAUUUCGUUGCAAAGCUAGCUAUUAAGGAUCCAAUUUUCAAGUAAUGAUUCCAUGGAUGACGGAAAGUUAAAAUUUACAUGCUCGCAAGAAUCGUCUAUCAGAACAAGAAGAAGGAUUGUGAGAACAUCAGUUCUUUAGAAUCUAAGAUUAAAAAUCUAAAUUUUAUUAGGGAGGUGAAAGAAGCCACCAUGGAAUGUUGAGGAGUAUCAAAGACGAGUUUGUAAUCUUUAAAGAAUGAUUUUUGUUUUCCAAUUGAAAUAACAUGUUCUUCAAAAUACUCCCCACCAAAUCCUGCAAACAUUUUCAACUAAAUAUGAAAAAGCCAUUGAGAAAGACAUUAUUUUUGUUCCCCUUUUUACAGCCUUCAAAAUAAUUGGCUAAUUUGUCUGUUUUGGAAGUAACCAAGUAGUUGUGAAGAGUUCCAUCAACCCCUAAAAUAGGACAAACAAUAAAAAUAAUAACAUUAGGUUACCUAAUGAAAAUUUUGAACUCUUUUUACUAACAAUGCAAACUUUUUUUUAGAAAAAGAAAAGCUUCAAAUUUUGAAGAAUAAUAUUACAAAACCUAGAGAGAAUUGAAAGGUGAAAGGAAUUGUGAGAAGAGCUAAAAUACAAGAAACCCCAAAAGCUUCAUAGAGACAAUUUGGUGGGUUGAUCUUAGACUUAGCCGUGGACGAGCUAGUUCAAACUUUGGGCCAAAUCAACUCUCCUCUCUAGGCCCAUCUAAAUUUGUAUCAUGUAUGGAUACCUGAUACGAUAAACUCGUUCUAAACCUUGACUUAUCAGUGAUGAGGCAGGCUAAAUUAUCCAUUUUUCUUAGAACCAAUUCACCUUCUAGGUACGAUAGCUUCUCCCUUCUUAUUCUUCUUUGGACUCUCAUAACAAGAUCAUGGGCUUUUCAUUAGAACAAUAAGUUGAACAGGUGGAUUCAUUGAAACAUUCUAUUUUGGGUUUGCUUUGGUUUCAUUUUUGUAUUUAUAGAGAAAAACAGUCUCUUCCAAAGAUGGAAAUUAUCAACUUCUUGUAUUGAUUAUGGUCAAACAGACCUCUCAUAAAAUACACGUUUCCCCAAUAAAUUAUAGACCUCUUAAAUAACUUCCAAAAUGGCACAAAUCUUUUGUUUGCAAGAGUUACAUUUCACAACAGUACUUCCAUUUUAAAACUAGACAAACAACGACAGGUAUCUUCAUCACACCAGUUUCCUUUUAAAACUAGAUGGUAGUUUUAAAUUAUCUGGCCGUAAGCAGGUGAGACUCCGGUGCCAUUGCAGGUAAAAUCUGCGGUUCGACCACCUGGAUAAGGUUGGUGGCCAGCCUAUGUGUCAAAUCCUCCACAGGUAUCUUCAUCACAUCCUUUCUCAUCCCAAUAUCAGCAGCAUAUCUACUAGCACAGUACACCCCAACGGCUGUCACUGCCAUUCCAUAGACGUUGGUUGUCACGAGACGGAGUGGCGUUGAAAGAACAGCUGCAAGAGGUCCUCCGAUGAUUGAAACUGCUUGCCCACUUUGUCCCAUGGUGCUCUGAUCAACCACAAGUAGUCCAGUUUUGCAGUAUAUUGCAAAGUCUUCACAGUUGUUCUUGAACACAUUGUAGCAUCCAAAACCAUUGUCUAGUAGGUAUUUUGCUCGAUGGACCACAAGAUCAUCUAAGUCAGAGCUUGCAAGGGUGCAAGUUCCACCUCGAGCUUUGGCCAGAAAAAGAGCAGGAUUGACACCAUACUCGAAACGAUACAAUACUCCACCAGCAAGAAAACAGUUCAAGCAAG